GUGUGGUUUAAACUAAGUUUCGAUAAAGACAUGAAAGAAUAGACGUGAAAGUGCAUAUCGUGGAUUAAAGUUGUCAACUUUAUUGUUAUAAAACAAUGGAUUAACGUUGUCAUUAAGGUUAAAGACUACAUGAGACUUUGACUGACAGAUGGCGGGAAACCCUCAUCCACUGGUACGAACCCGGUAAAUUGAUGGCUGUAAAACAGUGACCGCUGAUUCGCAUCGAGUUCUUUCUUGCAAAACGCAUGACCCCCCUUUUUUAUUGUCUAAAUCAUUGCGGCUCGGAAUGCUCUUUAAGAAAAGAAGCUGUUUGCCAAGGCAAAAACUGGGCAUCACACAAGCAAUUCUAUCGAGCAAAACUGACAGAUUUGGUUUCCAGAAAUCAACAAAGGAGGGAUUUCUGAACUAUCAAAAUUUCCAAGCUAUACACACAGUUAUUAGCUGUGGUGAUCUUAUUUAUUGGUUCUGUUGGUUUAUAUGGAUGGAACAUGUGUGAACUUUUAUAGAAAAGUCUAUAUCUGUCUAUCUAUAAACAAAAAUCAGCUAUGACAUUAUAAGAUCAGAUGUGCAAACAUCGUCAAAGGGUUGUUAAAUUAACAAUUUGAAGUCAAUUAUGCUAAAGAAAUAUAAUGGUUCCCAUGCAAAUUUAGUCUGUAUAUCGACAAGUGUCUGCCAAUAAAUGUCAAACUAGUAAUACAAAACUUACCACAAGUAUGUAAAAGCACUAAGUACCUAUUGUGAUCAUUUUUAGUAAGAUAGUGAAAUUCUAAACAGUAGCAAAUAGCUUGUUUAGUUAAUGCAUAAUGCCAUUAAUAUGAUUUCCUUUAUAUUGUGUAAUUAAUAAAUUGGUUGUUACUUGUUGUUCCAUGAUAAAUGUUUUAUGCGCUAGUGCAAAACCAGCAAUAAUUUGUUAAUUUUGUAAUAGGUAAUGAAAUGUUACUUCAUUGAUUCCACAAUUUUUCAAAAGAAAACAUCACUUUGUAAUUUCAUAUACGUAAAUAUUCUUGUAAGUUGAUGACAGUGUUUAAGUAUUACUUAUUGUGUAACUAUUAUUUUAUGUGCAAAUAAAUGAUGUGAAGUGUUUUGUAUCUCCACACAAUACCACAUACCUUUUUAUAUAUGUACUAAAUAUAUAUAUACUAAUAUCAUUUACAUGCUUCUGCUAGCGGCUUAGCCAAUAAAGACAUUGACUGACAUAUAAAUAAGCUCAUGUGAUUACUGAUGAUCUAUGUUUUAUUGCAUGUGUUAUUAGAAUGUUUAAAUUUAGAAAAAAUAUAGAUGAUAUAACAUUAUGUUUAAUUGCAUUCAAAUUGUAACUACAUGUAUACAGCUACAAACUAAGUGUAUGCAGUUUAGACUGUGAUUUAUGAAUUGCUACAAAAUGGCUAGUUUUUUAGUGGCGACACAAUUUUAAAAACUAUUCGACAAUAGUUUGCGAAAGAAAAUUAGAACCCUGCAAUAUACAUGUAUUUAUGAAAUAUUUUAAUUGCAAAACAAGUGUGCUGUCAUUCAGUUCCACAUAAUUAUACAUUGAUAAUUAAAAAAUCCUGUCAAUCAAAAUUGAUUUGACACAUCACAUUAUUUUAUUAUGUUUAAUCAAUGUAUGCUAAAAUCAACUGCUUUAGCAAGCUUAAGUUGAAUUCAGACAUUUAAUGAAACAAACUGUUUCCUGGGUAGGACCAGUACUUAGUGUGUUUAGGGUGAUCUAAAGAACGCUCGCACUUAAGGGAUCAAUACAGAGACCUCCCAGUGACUAAGCAGACACCAUAUCCACUAGAACAAAGUGUCAUUAGUUAAAUGAAAACCGAAAUUACUCAAUUAUUCAUCCAAAAUAAAUAUUUAACAUACAGUAUAUUAUUUGUUGUGACUUAUUUUUUUGCACAGGGAACUAUAAGAAAGUU